rnacentral:rRNA from 1 species
GGCUACGGCCAUAUCACGAUGAAUGCACCUCAUCCCGUCCGAUUUAUCGUCGAGCCACAUCAGUACUGAGGUUGGAGACAACUUGGGAACCUGUGGUGCUGUAGUCU